rnacentral:sRNA from 1 species
UCACAGUCUUUUUCAGAUGAAGAGGGA